CCAGGUCCAGAAGCUCCUGGUCUACGGUGAGUUUUGGUCUGGCCGUGGGUGGCUGGCUGACCCUUGAACCCCCAUCGCUUCAUCACGCCUUGGAACCCUUUACCAAUGCUGCACAUAAACACAAGUUCUGUGCACGAGUGACUCCGUACCGUCGUCAUUCACUCUAAAGAUCUCAAGGAAAGGGUCGGACUUGCUGAAGAAAUCCUUCAGAGGGAAAACACGCAGCCAGGUGCUGCACAAAGACAGAUGAACCCAAACAACAGUAAAUGCACUCCCGCCACGGAUUCAGCUAUAGCGGACAUCAGUGAGUGAAGUGAGGAAACUAUAAGUGCCAGUACUCCCCUUAUCCAUACGAGUUUCUCCUUUUAGGGGUCACCACAGCGGAUCAUCUGCCUGAUAGAUAAUGUUCUUGUUUAAUAAUAAAAAUUAAAACUCCAGACACGAGAAACAAGAAGCACUCGACUCUUGUGAGAAGGGCUGCAGCCUGGGAAAUGAUUAUUCUGGACCAUGAUGAAUUGGACAGAUAACCUAAAUUUUGAAUACUCAAAAUUGUGAAAUUAAGAAGUGCAGGUACUGUGUAACAGACCGGUACCGGUGGACAUACAAGUAUGCUCACAUCAAAUCCACCUUUGGCUCUUUGGUUAAGUCACUCACACACACCACUUAGCUUGUGCAGUGAACUACCUAACAUGCUGUUUGAGGUUCAGCCACAUCAAUCUCACUUCUAGGAGAUUAGAGUUAAAAGUAGGCAGCUUUAAUCAUCAGUCGAUAAUCACACAACGUAAUGCACUGACCAGCUGGAAACAGCUCUCACCUGUCCUAAGGUGCACUCCAUGGCACCCAGGAAGUCCGCAUC